UUACAGUGUAUAAGGUAAAGACACACACAGAGAUCAGAAGGUAUGUAUGGACUUAUCUAACUCUGGGGGAUACGGUGAAUGAGAUAAAGUCCCAAUAACUCGGCAUGCUCCUUUAAAUAG